CCUGGAGAGGUCUCACCCCUCACCGAGAUGCACUCAGGGCCUAUUAGGGAUGACAUGUCCUAUUAACCAUCUCCACACCUCUUUGGGAGCGAAUCUGCAUUGACUGCCCUAUCGACUUUUCCAGUUGUUCCAAGAGUAUCAGCUUCCUGGCUUCUGGCGGAAAGUCAAGUUUUGUGUCCUGGCCUUCAAGACACCUCAGAAGAUAAGGGACUUCUGGUUAUGGUUGCAAGAAGAGGUCGGUGAUUCCUUUGCAUAAAACUGGUCAAAACUAUCAAAAGUAACCAUUUCAGGGCAUUGGAAAUUGAUCCAGGGAAGAAAACACAUUGAAGCAUUUACUUUUGAAAAAGUGCUAGAUCUUCAGGGCUAUUGUAGUACAUCAUCUAACAAGACGCAAUGCAGCUGGGCUCGUCAAAUCAGUGACACCUCGAUCAAGUUAGUGUGGGAACAAUUUACAUCCAAAAGAUACUGAAAAAACCUGGAGUCCACCACUAACUCAAGGGCCAUGCUUUAGGUUCUUGCUUUAGUGAAGAUAACUACAGACUUGAAGGAGAGACACAAUUUUGAGAUACUGGACCUCAGGGAACAAGAUGGACCAGCCAAGUUCUGGGUCAAAAUGUCGAAAGGAACAUGAGGAACUGGAAAUGAGUUAAUCCCAUCAUGGAUGAAUGAUUUAAAAAAGAAUUUUUAAAGCAUGAAGACAGAGUGAC